GACGAACGCUGGCGGCGUGCUUAACACAUGCAAGUCGAACGGAAAGGCCCUGCUUGCAGGGUACUCGAGUGGCGAACGGGUGAGUAACACGUUGGUGAUCUGCCCUGCACUUCGGGAUAAGCCCGGGAAACUGGUUCUAAUACCGGACCGGAGCCUUUUUUAGUUUGAUGGUUGGAAAGUUUUUUUGGUGUAGGAUGAGCUCGGGGCCUAUCCGCUUGUUGGUGGGGUAAUGGCCUACCAAGGCGGCGCCGGCGAGCCGGCCUGGGAGGGUGGCCGGCAACAGUGAGACUGGGACUCGGCCCCGACUCCGACGGGAGGGAGCAGUGGGGGAUGUUGCUCUAGGGGCGCGGGCGUGAUGCAGCUCCGCCACGUGGGGGAUGACGACGUACGGGUUGUAAUCGUCUUGCGCUAGGAACGGAGCUUAUUGUGACAGUACCGAGAUAAGAAGCUCCGGCUAACUACGUG
rnacentral:rRNA from 1 species